UGACGAACGCUGGCGGCGUGCCUAAUACAUGCAAGUCGAGCGAGCGGAACUAACAGAUUUACUUCGGUAAUGACGUUAGGAAAGCGAGCGGCGGAUGGGUGAGUAACACGUGGGGAACCUGCCCCAUAGUCUGGGAUACCACUUGGAAACAGGUGCUAAUACCGGAUAAGAAAGCAGAUCGCAUGAUCAGCUUUUAAAAGGCGGCGUAAGCUGUCGCUAUGGGAUGGCCCCGCGGUGCAUUAGCUAGUUGGUAAGGUAAAGGCUUACCAAGGCGAUGAUGCAUAGCCGAGUUGAGAGACUGAUCGGCCACAUUGGGACUGAGACACGGCCCAAACUCCUACGGGAGGCAGCAGUAGGGAAUCUUCCACAAUGGACGCAAGUCUGAUGGAGCAACGCCGCGUGAGUGAAGAAGGUUUUCGGAUCGUAAAGCUCUGUUGUUGGUGAAGAAGGAUAGAGGUAGUAACUGGCCUUUAUUUGACGGUAAUCAACCAGAAAGUCACGGCUAACUACGUGCCAGCAGCCGCGGUAAUACGCAGGUGGCAAGCGUUGUCCGGAUUUAUUGGGCGUAAAGCGAGCGCAGGCGGAAGAAUAAGUCUGAUGUGAAAGCCCUCGGCUUAACCGAGGAACUGCAUCGGAAACUGUUUUUCUUGAGUGCAGAAGAGGAGAGUGGAACUCCAUGUGUAGCGGUGGAAUGCGUAGAUAUAUGGAAGAACACCAGUGGCGAAGGCGGCUCUCUGGUCUGCAACUGACGCUGAGGCUCGAAAGCAUGGGUAGCGAACAGGAUUAGAUACCCUGGUAGUCCAUGCCGUAAACGAUGAGUGCUAAGUGUUGGGAGGUUUCCGCCUCUCAGUGCUGCAGCUAACGCAUUAAGCACUCCGCCUGGGGAGUACGACCGCAAGGUUGAAACUCAAAGGAAUUGACGGGGGCCCGCACAAGCGGUGGAGCAUGUGGUUUAAUUCGAAGCAACGCGAAGAACCUUACCAGGUCUUGACAUCUAGUGUCAUUUGUAGAGAUACAAAGUUCCCUUCGGGGACGCUAAGACAGGUGGUGCAUGGCUGUCGUCAGCUCGUGUCGUGAGAUGUUGGGUUAAGUCCCGCAACGAGCGCAACCCUUGUUAUUAGUUGCCAGCAUUAAGUUGGGCACUCUAAUGAGACUGCCGGUGACAAAGCGGAGGAAGGUGGGGAUGACGUCAAGUCAUCCUGCCCCUUAUGACCUGGGCUACACACGUGCUACAAUGGGCAGUACAACGAGAAGCGAGCCUGCGAAGGCAAGCGAAUCUCUGAAAGCUGUUCUCAGUUCGGACUGCAGUCUGCAACUCGACUGCACGAAGCUGGAAUCGCUAGUAAUCGCGGAUCAGCACGCCGCGGUGAAUACGUUCCCGGGCCUUGUACACACCGCCCGUCACACCAUGGGAGUCUGCAAUGCCCAAAGCCGGUGGCCUAACCUUCGGGAAGGAGCCGUCUAAGGCAGGGCAGAU
rnacentral:rRNA from 1 species